UUUAUGGAGAGUUUGAUCCUGGCUCAGGAUGAACGCUGGCGGCGUGCCUAAUACAUGCAAGUCGAGCGAAC
rnacentral:rRNA from 5 species